CAAAAAUGUAAAGGUAGAAUAUUUUGACUUGCUGUUCAGUCAAUAAAAUCUCAUACCUCAUGAGUGAGUCUUAUUUACUGUGAGGAACUUGACAAGCUAACCCUUCUCCAAAUCUAGGAUAGUUACAGAUUCUCUUACAAAUUCAUGGCAACCUCAAGAAAGGAUGGUGAAAAAGCACUAAUGUACAGUCUCAGGCAUGAUAGAUGCUUUUUACAUCAUGGGGAACUGGCCAACAAUUAUGAGAGUUAUGCCAUUAAUAUUCCUUACCUGAAAAUGCCUUGUAUGUAUGUGGGUACCCCUUUGAAAUAAUUAAACAAGUUAUACAUCAGCUAGUUGCCUUCAGAUAGUCAACAUCUCAGAACAUGUCACUUCUGAUGGUACCAAGUAUUGCAGAAAUGGUUUGUUUUCCUUUUUGGAUUGUACUCUACGCUUACUUGAAUUUCUUUCUUUUUUCUAUAUUCCUUUUAGCGCAUGAUUGCAAAUACGGCCAGAACAGUGAGAUACUACAGGAGCCAACCCUUCAAUCCUGAUGCAGCUCAAGCUAAUAAGAACCAUCAGGAUGUCUGGAGUUAUGUACGGCAAUUAAAUGUGAUUGACAACCAGAGAACUUUAUCACAGAUGUCACACAGAUUAGAGCCUCGUCGACCAUAGACAUUUCAAAUGCCCAGAGCAACAGUUUGUCUCCAGUCCACAAUCUUUCAAAAAUGCCAUUUAUGCUACUACUGACUGUAUUGCCACUAGAGAAUUCUACAAAACAAGCAAAAACACAUCCUGAGACACCUCAGGGCUGCAUUCAGCUUACCAGCUACCUGGCAAGAGAAGGAAUUAUUUGACUUGC
rnacentral:sRNA from 1 species